rnacentral:sRNA from 1 species
AUGGCGGAUGGUCCGGUGGCGGAACUGCUGCUUCGGCGGCUGGAGGCGUCUGAUGGCGGCCUGGACAGCGCCGAGUUGGCGGCUGAGCUGGGCAUGGAGCACCAGGCGGUGGUGGGCGCCGUGAAGAGCCUUCAGGCGCUGGGCGAGGUCAUCGAGGCUGAACUUCGGUCCACCAAGCGCUGGGAGCUUACUGCGGAGGGCGAGGAGAUUGCCCGGGAGGGCAGCCAUGAGGCCCGUGUGUUUCGAAGCAUUCCCCCAGAGGGCCUGGCCCAGAGCGAGCUUAUGCGACUGCCCAGUGGCAAAGUGGGCUUCAGCAAGGCCAUGUCCAACAAGUGGAUUCGGGUGGACAAGAGUGCGGCUGACGGGCCCCGGGUGUUCCGAGUGGUGGACAGCAUGGAGGAUGAGGUGCAGCGGCGGCUCCAGCUGGUCCGGGGGGGACAGGCUGAGAAGCUGGGGGAGAAGGAGAGGAGCGAGCUGAGGAAGAGGAAGCUGUUGGCUGAAGUGACCCUGAAGACCUACUGGGUGAGCAAAGGCAGUGCCUUUAGUACCAGCAUCUCCAAGCAAGAGACAGAGCUGAGCCCAGAGAUGAUCUCCAGUGGCUCUUGGCGGGACCGGCCCUUCAAGCCCUACAACUUCUUGGCCCACGGUGUCCUCCCCGACAGCGGCCACCUUCACCCGCUGCUCAAGGUCCGCUCCCAGUUCCGACAGAUCUUCCUGGAGAUGGGGUGAGCACAGGGCUGGGGGCGGUGCCUGGUGCUUCUGCUGGGUACAGGCAGGGCAGUCAGGCUGCGUCUCCCACCAGGUUCACCGAGAUGCCGACUGAUAACUUCAUUGAGAGCUCCUUCUGGAACUUUGACGCCCUCUUCCAGCCCCAGCAGCACCCAGCCCGUGACCAGCACGACACCUUCUUCCUUCGAGAUCCAGCGGAGGCCCUGCAGCUCCCAAUGGACUAUGUCCAGCGGGUCAAGCGGACCCACUCUCAGGGCGGCUACGGCUCACAGGGGUACAAGUAUAACUGGAAGCUGGACGAGGCCCGGAAAAACCUACUGCGAACCCACACCACAUCAGCCAGCGCCCGUGCGCUCUACCGCCUUGCCCAGAAGGUGCGGUUGGCCCAGGCGGGGGCCACAGUGGGGAGAGGGUGCUGUCAAAGGGACCUUCUGACCCAUACCUGGGCCUGGCUCGGUUGUCACCCCUAGAAGCCCUUCACUCCGGUCAAGUACUUCUCCAUCGACCGCGUAUUCCGGAAUGAGACCCUGGACGCCACGCACCUGGCUGAGUUCCACCAGAUCGAGGGCGUGGUGGCGGAUCAUGGUCUCACCUUGGGCCACCUCAUGGGCGUUCUGCGGGAGUUCUUCACCAAGCUGGGUAUCACGCAACUCCGCUUCAAGCCAGCCUACAACCCAUACACAGAGCCCAGCAUGGAGGUGUUCAGCUACCACCAAGGCCUGAAGAAGUGGGUGGAGGUCGGAAACUCGGGGGUCUUCCGUCCAGAGAUGCUGCUGCCCAUGGGGCUUCCCGAGAACGUGUCGGUCAUUGCCUGGGGCCUCUCCCUGGAGCGCCCAACGAUGAUCAAAUAUGGCAUCAACAAUAUCCGGGAGCUGGUGGGCCACAAGGUGAACCUGCAGAUGGUGUAUGACAGUCCCCUGUGCCGCCUGGAUGCCGAGCCGAGGCCCCCUCCCACACAGGAGGCUGCAUGACAUGGGCCACUCUAGGACAGGUCAUCCUCCCGAGUCCCUGCUGCUGCGCUCCUUCGCAUCCCUGGCCAGUGACCUUGUAUUUAUGAGGCCUCUGUGAGGCCAGCCCCCACCUUCCUCUUUCCCACCUGUCCCAGGACUAGAAUCCCAGGGACAGAGGACUGGGUAGCAGGUUCCUUCUGUUGUCCUGUGUGGUGUGUCUACUGUGAG